CUCUAAUUAGCCUAGUGGUUAAGGCUAUGGACCGCCAAUCCGGAGACGGCGGGUUCGAUUCUCGUUUUUCAAA
rnacentral:tRNA from 1 species